rnacentral:snoRNA from 1 species
CUAAAUGAUGACAAAAGGCCAUGAGGCCUGAUAAUCCCAGCUCGUCGAGUGCCUCACAAUAAACGCAGAGUGCAUAGUGAGAGAAAAAACCUGUUCUGAUAU